rnacentral:ncRNA from 1 species
CCAAAGGCUCUUUUCAGAGCCACCCACCGUUUCUGAGGAAGAACU